rnacentral:rRNA from 1 species
UACGUAGGGGGCUAGCGUUGUCCGGAUUUAUUGGGCGUAAAGAGCGUGUAGGCGGCCAGGUAGGUCCGCUGUGAAAACUCGAGGCUCAACCUCGAGAUGUCGGCGGAAACCAUCUGGCUAGAGUCCGGAAGAGGAGAGUGGAAUUCCUGGUGUAGCGGUGAAAUGCGCAGAUAUCAGGAAGAACACCAGUGGCGAAGGCGGCUUGCCAGAACGCGCUCGACGGUGAGGGAUGAAAGCUGGGGGAGCAAACCGG